rnacentral:rRNA from 1 species
GAUGAACGCUGGCGGCGUGCCUAACACAUGCAAGUCGAGCGAUUCUCUUAGGAGAAGAGCGGCGGACGGGUGAGUAACGCGUGGGUAACCUGCCCUGUACACACGGAUAACAUACCGAAAGGUAUGCUAAUACGGGAUAAUAUGCUUUUAUCGCAUGGUAGAAGUAUCAAAGCUCCGGCGGUACAGGAUGGACCCGCGUCUGAUUAGCUAGUUGGUAAGGUAACGGCUUACCAAGGCGACGAUCAGUAGCCGACCUGAGAGGGUGAUCGGCCACAUUGGAACUGAGACACGGUCCAAACUCCUACGGGAGGCAGCAGUGGGGAAUAUUGCACAAUGGGCGAAAGCCUGAUGCAGCAACGCCGCGUGAGCGAUGAAGGCCUUCGGGUCGUAAAGUUCUGUCCUCAAGGAAGAUAAUGACGGUACUUGAGGAGGAAGCCCCGGCUAACUACGUGCCAGCCGCCGCCGUAA